UGUCAUCCCUAGACGGGAGGUAAUAUGUUCCUUAACACAUUCAGUGAUGGAUAGUGUGGAGCCCACCAAGGCCUAACUCUUGAAUUUUUUGGAGAGUAUUUUGGAAUUUUCGUAUUUAUUAUGUUGCCCUAGUGUGAGGGUAUUUAUUCAUUCUGAACUUUCUAUAUCCGCUGUUGUUUUGAUCAUCAUAGUGAAAUUCUUUCAACCCUUAUACGUAACCCUGAUUCUUUAGGUAACCCAAGUAAAAAUCUGUUUGUACUUGUGUGUGUUUGAUCUCUUUUCUGUGUUUUCUGUUUAAUUUCACAACAUCUAGCCCAACCGGCAAAGGCUAGAGAAGUGCAUCCAAACCCAACUAUGGUUAGUCAAUGACCGGAAUACUGUUUUGUGGCUCGAAUCUCAGCAAGUAUGCUCAGCAACAUUUCCUUGUUACUUUUAUUCACGUGGUGCACUUAAACUCUAGAGUUCGCUAAUGGUAACAAUAAUUCUUAAAUUGCCUUCAUUUUUCUAUCGUAUGACAAUUUUAGUGUUCAUUCACAUGGUCUUCCAUUAGUUAGGUCGUUAGCAUUCGCAUGAUUCUUGUUCCAUUGUUUUGUGCUAAUGCAAUCUGUGAGACACCUUUUAGAAUAAGUUACUCAUUUGAUAAAUAGUGUUCCAUUACAACAACUCAGAAUUAAAUCACCCAUACGUUUAUAUUCAACCAUAAUAGUGAUACUCAAGCUAAAUCCAUCAUUUAUGUUAUGAAUUCAUUGAUCACCCAGAAUUCAUUUAUUUUCACUCUCACUCUCUUCUGUUUUUUUUUUUUUUUUGAAGUUAAGUUGAUUUAUUUAUUUUGUUACUUUGUUUGGGACAAUUACACAAGACUAGGUGGACAAAGAAUGCACAUUCCAUUUAUACGAAUUGCAACUACGUACAAGAAACGUCAAAUUUUCGGUUUCGGCUUGUGUUAUGGGGUAGCUUGAUCAGCACAUCAUUGAAUUAGUUGGCAGUCUUCUUCUUCUUCAUAUUCGUAUUGCUUAACCUCAAAGUUAAAGGACACGAGGCUGACAACAUCGAUCUUAUGUCUAUCCAACGUUUAGAAAAUUCCAUUCUGUCCUAAUCUUAUGUUCGUGUUACCGAGAAGGGUUCAGAUAUAUCAGAAUCUCUCCUCCUUCGAAGAACUGAUUCCAAAAGUCCAAUAGAUGGGAGAGAAGUUGGUUGUUUUGGUGUUGUUCCGUUCUUACGCUGUUGAGCUUCACUUAGUGCCUCUUUUCGGACCUUUUCUUUCGAGAUCAGAUGGUUCCCAGAUUGUUAAUGUACUGUGUCUGCUGUUUAUUUUGUCUUCUGGGUGCUGCUGUGUAGCUUCUGCUGAGCUUUGUGAGUUUGUUUGGAGCUAUGCACAUUUCUGUUUAUCAAUACAAAUUCAUUACCUUACACAAAUAUA